AAAGAUAAUAUCGUUCUGGUAUUGUCUAUAAUGACCUACAACUAGAUCUACUGCGAAAUGUGGGAUAUAGAAAAACAAUGUGUCAGAAGUACAUAAAAACAAAUGAAGCCUACUAGCAGUAAGUAAACAAUAAUUUCAGUUCAAUGGUUUUAAACACAAUUUCGAUUAAAUUUUUUUUCGCUAAUAAUAAUGAAGUACAAAAUUCGUGUCUUUUAGAAUCAAAGUUUUGUAUCAACCGAACAUUUGUCCGUGCCUUUUGUUUCUUUUCAUUUGUAACAUUUUCCAAGACACUGACAUGCAUUUCUAUGCAAUUUCUAUACAACCCACCGAUGUUUAUAUUACAUUAUUAUUAAAUUUUUUUAUUUUUUUUUUUAGGAAACAUUCUGGUAGAUAUACAGGCACGCCCGUAUAAGUUUUGUAUGGUCUGUCUGUUCUGUUCAUCCGUCUGUCAAGUUUUUUAAAAUAAAAUUACCAAUAACUUAAUUAAUAAGUUUUUGGCAUGAAAAGAUCUACAUAAGGAAUAGAUCUAUGGUGAACUAUUUCUUACAUUAUUCGUAGCCUACCAGAUUGGUCUAACUCCAAAUCCCCAAAGAUUUGCUACAUGAAGAAGUUAUCACAUAAAAAUUCACUAUGUAGAGCGGCGAAAUCCUUUUCAAAGAAGAUAACACUAAAUGAAUCUCAUCUCAUGUCCAUA